UACGGAGGAUGCGAGCGUUAUCCGGAUUUAUUGGGUUUAAAGGGUGCGUAGGCGGGCUUUUAAGUCAGCGGUAAAAAUUCGGGGCUCAACUCCGUCCGGCCGUUGAAACUGGGGGCCUUGAGUGGGCGAGAAGAAGGCGGAAUGCGUGGUGUAGCGGUGAAAUGCAUAGAUAUCACGCAGAACCCCGAUUGCGAAGGCAGCCUUCCGGCGCCCUACUGACGCUGAGGCACGAAAGUGCGGGGAUCGAACAGG
rnacentral:rRNA from 1 species